rnacentral:rRNA from 1 species
GAUGAACGCUGGCGGCGUGCCUAAUACAUGCAAGUCGAGCGAACGGACGAGAAGCUUGCUUCUCUGAUGUUAGCGGCGGACGGGUGAGUAACACGUGGAUAACCUACCUAUAAGACUGGGAUAACUUCGGGAAACCGGAGCUAAUACCGGAUAAUAUUUUGAACCGCAUGGUUCAAAAGUGAAAGACGGUCUUGCUGUCACUUAUAGAUGGAUCCGCGCUGCAUUAGCUAGUUGGUAAGGUAACGGCUUACCAAGGCAACGAUGCAUAGCCGACCUGAGAGGGUGAUCGGCCACACUGGAACUGAGACACGGUCCAGAGUCCUACGGGAGGCAGCAGUAGGGAAUCUUCGGCAAUGGGCGAAAGCCUGACGGAGCAACGCCGCGUGAGUGAUGAAGGUCUUCGGAUCGUAAAACUCUGUUAUUAGGGAAGAACAUAUGUGUAAGUAACUGUGCACAUCUUGACGGUACCUAAUCAGAAAGCCACGGCUAACUACGUG